rnacentral:lncRNA from 1 species
AUAGGUCUAUGUAGAUUCUCUAGUACUUCAUUAUUCUGUCUUCAUAAGUUGUAUUUCUAGACAUACAUAUUUUAUCUGGUUGUCUAGUUUGAUUGCAUUUAAUCGCACACAGCACUCAUUUUUAUUUCUCUGAAAGUGGUAAUCGUCAAGUCCAAAAGUAAUUAAGGAAACAUUGUUCUCUGUAGUUCUGUAGUGCCUGCUAGCAUAGCAAAGUGCAUGCUGUCCUUGAGGCCCACUCAGUGCCUGUGUUUUUUCUCAGUUCUGCUUGUCCCACCCCUUACCCUAAAUUUCUGCAGCUUUCCUUCCCCCAGUGUCUCAUUCCUAUACAACCCUGCCCUUUUGGCCAUAUGCUCUCUUGGUUCUCUCUUUUGUCUUUCUCUCUUGGUCCUCCUCUCUUUCUCUUCUCAUGGCC